CGGCUAAUUUCCCUACGAUCCCCAUAAAUAGGUCAUGUACUGCUCCAGCAUAUCUCAUGAUUGUCUCUCUGUCAAAAUUGAAACUUCUAUACAGUUAAAUCACAUGUGUUCAUCAAUUAUUUCAGGAUCAGUUACUUUUACAGAAAGAGGGAUGAAGUACCUUUGAUGCGGUGAAGCAUCCAAUUGAGAGCAAAAGGAAUCGACGUCUUGAGGAGAUGACAUGUCAUACAAUCCGAGUGCUUCGUAGAGCGGAUUUUUUGCCGAUGGAGCCAUAUAUCCGCUUCCGGUGAUGACAUCGGUGUUCUGGCGCUUGAUCUCCACCGGUAAAUCGAAGAGUGAUCUGACCACCGCCUUCAUCUCCGACAUCAGCGUCGAUGGGAGGACUUCGUGGUGGUUGAGUAGCCGGAAACAGCCCCAUUCUUCGCAUGCUGAGAUCAAUUUGGAUAAUUGGUUGGGGGAAUCUAAAUCUUGUAGAUCGAUCACCGGGAUACUGCAUUUGGUGGCCAUGUCGUGAAGCUGAAAUUUGCGUGGUAAAUUGGGGGAUUUAUAAAGGGGAGUUGCAGAGAGGGAUUUGUUUUUUGCUUCAAGGAGACAAAUUGCCAAAAAUACCGCCGAAUUUUGUCUUUACUGUCUAACUAGAAAAAGAUAGAUUAAUGGUGAGAUGUAAUUUAAUAAAAAUAUAUUUGACAUUUAGUUACAAAUCAGUGUUAGCUUUGUAGUUUUUAGGACCUGUUUCUCAAUCUUUUAAUUUUUUAUUUUAGGUAAAUUUUCAUUUUUAAAAGUAUCCAGCGAAUUUGAUGAACA